GUAGUCCACGCCCUAAACGAUGUCAACUGGUUGUUGGGAAUUUAUUUUCUCAGUAACGAAGCUAACGCGUGAAGUUGACCGCCUGGGGAGUACGGCCGCAAGGUUAAAACUCAAAGGAAUUGACGGGGACCCGCACAAGCGGUGGAUGAUGUUCUUUAAUUCGAUGCAACGCGAAAAACCUUACCCACCUUUGACAUGUAUGGAAUCCUUUAGAGAUGAAGGAGUGCUCGAAAGAGAGCCAUAACACAGGUGCUGCAUGGCUGUCGUCAGCUCGUGUCGUGAGAUGUUGGGUUAAGUCCCGCAACGAGCGCAACCCUUGCCAUUAGUUGCUACGAAAGGGCACUCUAAUGGGACUGCCGGUGACAAACCGGA
rnacentral:rRNA from 1 species